UACGGGGGGAGCAAGCGUUGUUCGGAUUUACUGGGCGUAAAGGGCGCGUAGGCGGCCAGCACAAGUCAGUUGUGAAAUCUCCGGGCUUAACUCGGAACGGUCAACUGAUACUGUGCGGCUAGAGUGCGGAAGGGGCAACUGGAAUUCUUGGUGUAGCGGUGAAAUGCGUAGAUAUCAAGAGGAACACCUGCGGCGAAGGCGGGUUGCUGGGCCGACACUGACGCUGAGGCGCGAAAGCCAGGGGAGCGAACGGG
rnacentral:rRNA from 1 species